rnacentral:rRNA from 1 species
GACUACAGGGGUAUCUAAUCCUGUUUGCUCCCCACGCUUUCGUGCAUGAGCGUCAGUACAGGCCCAGGGGAUUGCCUUCGCCAUCGGUGUUCCUCCGCAUAUCUACGCAUUUCACUGCUACACGCGGAAUUCCAUCCCCCUCUGCCGUACUCUAGCUAUACAGUCACAAAUGCAGUUCCCAGGUUGAGCCCGGGGAUUUCACAUCUGUCUUAUAUAACCGCCUGCGCACGCUUUACGCCCAGUAAUUCCGAUUAACGCUUGCACCCUACGUAUUACCGCGGCUGCUGGCACGUAGUUAGCCGGUGCUUAUUCUUACGGUACCGUCAUGGACCCCCUUUAUUAGAAGGAGUCUUUUCGUUCCGUACAAAAGCAGUUUACAACCCGAAGGCCUUCAUCCUGCACGCGGCAUGGCUGGAUCAGGCUUUCGCCCAUUGUCCAAAAUUCCCCACUGCAGCCUCCCGUAGG